rnacentral:rRNA from 1 species
CUACACAUGCAGUCGAACGGUAACAGGAAGCAGCUUGCUGCUUCGCUGACGAGUGGCGGACGGGUGAGUAAUGUCUGGGAAACUGCCUGAUGGAGGGGGAUAACUACUGGAAACGGUAGCUAAUACCGCAUAACGUCGCAAGACCAAAGAGGGGGACCUUCGGGCCUCUUGCCAUCGGAUGUGCCCAGAUGGGAUUAGCUAGUAGGUGGGGUAACGGCUCACCUAGGCGACGAUCCCUAGCUGGUCUGAGAGGAUGACCAGCCACACUGGAACUGAGACACGGUCCAGACUCCUACGGGAGGCAGCAGUGGGGAAUAUUGCACAAUGGGCGCAAGCCUGAUGCAGCCAUGCCGCGUGUAUGAAGAAGGCCUUCGGGUUGUAAAGUACUUUCAGCGGGGAGGAAGGCGAUAAGGUUAAUAACCUUGUCGAUUGACGUUACCCGCAGAAGAAGCACCGGCUAACUCCGUGCCAGCAGCCGCGGUAAUACGGAGGGUGCAAGCGUUAAUCGGAAUUACUGGGCGUAAAGCGCACGCAGGCGGUCUGUCAAGUCGGAUGUGAAAUCCCCGGGCUCAACCUGGGAACUGCAUUCGA